rnacentral:rRNA from 1 species
GGACUACGGGGGUAUCUAAUCCGGUUUGCUCCCCCAGCUUUCGUCCCUCACUGUCGGAGCCGUUCUAGUGAGACGCCUUCGCCACAGGUGGUCCCCCAAGGAUUACAGGAUUUCACUCCUACCCCUGGAGUACCUCUCACCUCUCCCGGUCCCUAGGUUGCCAGUAUCUCCUGAACUCCCAUCGGUUAAGCCGAUGGAUUUCCCAGAAGACUUAACAACCAAGCUACGGACGCUUUAAGCCCAGUAAUAGUGGCCACCACUCGAGCCGCCGGUAUUACCGCGGCGGCUGGCACCGGUCUUGCCCGGCUCUUUCUUCACCAGUUUUUUGCACUGAUGGACAGCCCGAAUUUACGGGCACUCGGGGUUCCCUUAUCACGAUUUCUCGCAUUGUAAAGUUUUCGCGCCUGCUGCCCCCCAUAGG